rnacentral:rRNA from 1 species
UUGGAGGGCAAGUCUGGUGCCAGCAGCCGCGGUAAUUCCAGCUCCAAUAGCGUAUAUUAAAGUUGUUGCAGUUAAAAGCUCGUAGUUGAAUUUCGGGGUUCUACCGUUGGUCGGGCUAACCAGUCUGUACUAGCGUGUAGAAUUCCUACCUUCUGGGGAACCAUCAUGUUAUUAAUUUAGCGUGGUGGGAAACCAGGACCUUUACCUUGAAAAAAUUAGAGUGUUCAAAGCAGACUUACGUCUGAAUACAUUAGCAUGGAAUAAUAAAAUAGGACGGUGGUCCUGUUUUG